GGCCAGCUGAAGGACACCUCUGGGUGUGGGAAUUUCUCGCUGCAUUGAAGACCUGUUGGUGACCUUCUGCUGUUGUUUGUUCUAUGGUCCGGUUGUUGUGUCUUUGAUACAUUUCCCAUUUCAAUUCUUAAUUUUAUGUAUAUUAUUGUCCUCUUUCUAUAAUGAUAAAAUUGUGAAAGGAAAUGGGGAAUGUGUCAAAGCGACAACAACCCGACCAUAGAGCAGACAAAAGCCAAAGGCCACCAUGCAAUGGGUCUGUAUUAAUUCUUUGAAAAUAAAUGAAAUAAAAUUCAUCUCUAAAACAGUGUUUAUAUAAUGUACUUAGACUUGCUACAAUUCCCUAUCUUUUUU
rnacentral:lncRNA from 1 species